GACAGCGAUAGCGAUCGAGAUAGGGACCAUCGCCCAGCCGGCCCCGGCGGGCUCUGGGAGCGGGUGGGCGCACGCGGUGUGGGAGGCGUGCGCUGGAAAUAGGGCUGCGAACGCGGCCAGAGCGGCCUCUGCUCCCCGCGGCCUCCAGGAGAGAUCCCUCAAAGUGCCCUGAAAGAAGGCAGGGCCGAGGCACGCGUGGGAAGCCUCUGUCCAUGGGGAAUAAGUGCACAACGCUGCGGGAGCAGGGGCUGCCCUCAGCCUGAGGCUUGUCCCGUGGUUUGUUGUAGGCUUGGCCUCGCCGCAGCGCUGCUCCCCUGUCAGCGGGGCUGGGAUCCCUCUGUACAAGGAGAACAGAAGGUCAUUUGGUGCUGUCGGGCACCAGAGACUCUACUCGUUGUUUGCCUCUUCCUACAGCCCCCACUGUGGUGAACUAGCGAGGCUGGUCAACACCUGGUGGGAGCUGUUUUGUGUCAUUGUCCAAAGCACAAUUUCCAGUAAAAGUCCACAACACAUUAAGAACCUGGAUGAAGAUGCAAAAAACAUCAAUGUGAAAGCAAUAAAUUAUGGGUGCAGGCUUAAAAAAACUAGCAUGUUGGGGAGGAGAUGCAGGAAGGAAUUUUUUCUCUGCACAGGUGGUGUCUGAGAGCAGAGGUGGUCAGAUCCCUGGGCAGGAUUUCUAGACUCCCUGCUCCUAGUGCACAUACCAUGCAACACAAUGUUGUUAUAGUUUUUCAAGUAAUGGAGACUCUGUUGACUAAUUUGUAAGGAUCAUUGCACAAUGGGUAAAAGACUAUAAGCUACACAUCACAUUAAAGCCAGCAUUUAGUCACAAACUGCACAAAGUCAAAGUCAAGGAGCAUCCUCAGAGCCAAGGUUUCAGGAGCUCUUAGUGCCUACGGAGUCUUGCUAACCACAUGGUCAUCCAUGCACAGCAUGGUCAUCUCCACCUUGUGCCUCUUUGACAUGUUCUUUUUGUAUUAUUGUUGUCACCAGAAAGAACAUUCAGCCAGGCAGAUUUUGGUUGCAACCGUACUGUUGUUCCACAUAGGUUUGGAAGCAGCUUACACUGGUUUGGGCUGGUUUGCAGGUUUUUUUUUGAGGCUGUUCUUAUUUGGAACACAUAUAUGACAGUUUUAAUCUUUAAUCCCUUGUCCGGAAAAACAGCUUGAGCAAAAGCAGAAUGCUCAAGAGGACGUGAUGGAAUGUUGUGGCCACACACAUCCCUGUCAGGUGCCAUGUCACUAUAGAGGGGGAUGGCUGAGUCUUCCAAGGUUAGCUGCACCUCACAAGGCUUGGGGUUUUCUGUCCUGGCAAUCCUGGGCUCUGUGGAGAUAGCGGUGUUGCCUCAGCCCUUACUGCUUUCUCACAGCAGUGUCUGCUGAUUUGGAGGACAACAGUCCUCUCACAUUUUCACUUGGUACUUCUGUCACACUGAGAGGCAGCUUGAAGGAGCCUGGAGGGGAAAUAUCAACAGGCUGGUUAUGACAUCUUUGGAGCACCAAACAUAAGACUGGCCAGAGCAUUAGAGAGAGCAGUAGUUAAAUCUGUUGUGAGGAAAUCCGCUUUCCUUUAAGUCCACCAGGAACAAGGAUAUACUUAGAGACAGAUGGCCUGCAGCCCACAAGGGUCCCACCAGGAAUACUGCUUCCACUAUAGAGGAUGGCCGAGUUCUCAGAUGAAAAUCUAAGAUUACAGGUCAAAGUCAUACUUCCUGCAGCCAACAGAGAAACAACACUUGCAGCUGCUUACACCAUAUUUUCCUGGCUGCUUGGUAAGAUCCCAGAAAAGGCUGUCAAGAACUUUUUCUAUGUUUUCUUCCAACUAAUGUCUUGGGGAAGAAUGGUUCAGAGUCAGACACCACUCCAGAAAUGUUAGUCCAUCUUGUUUAUAAGAGUGCCAAAGAAAGGCUGUUCAGGGCUGGCCAGAAUCUACACAACUUAAUGUACUUCUCUGUGUCUUCAACCAACACAGUAAUCCGACUCCUUGAUGCACAUCUUGGCACCACCUUUCCCUGCACUCAAAGGAGACAUGCACAGCUGCCCAGUUACCCGCUUGACUUUACUGCCAUGGUGCCACGUCUGCCUCUUUCUCACUAAAAAUAAAGGUAUUAAGAGAUCUGUAA